GACGAACGCUGGCGGCGUGCCUAACACAUGCAAGUCGAACGAGGUCCAUCCAGUGGCAACACCGGUGAAGACCUAGUGGCGAACGGGUGAGUAACACGUGAGGAACCUGCCCCGAAGACCGGGAUAACUCUCCGAAAGGAGAGCUAAUACCGGAUGCCCCCACCGGACCGCAUGGUCUGGUGAGGAAAUGGAUUCCGCUUCGGGAGGGCCUCGCGGCCUAUCAGCUAGUUGGUGGGGUAACGGCCAACCAAGGCAUCGACGGGUAGCUGGUCUGAGAGGACGAUCAGCCACACUGGGACUGAGACACGGCCCAGACUCCUUCGGGAGGCAGCAGUGGGGAAUCUUGCGCAAUGGGCGAAAGCCUGAUGCAGCAACGCCGCGUGGGGGAUGAAGGCUCUCGGGUUGUAAACCCCUUUCAGCAGGGACGAAUCAAGACGGUACCUGCAGAAGAAGCCCCGGCUAACUACGUGCCAGCAGCCGCGGUAAAAC
rnacentral:rRNA from 1 species